UGGAAGCCGCAUCUUGCCUACCAUUCUCUCCACUACUCAGAGUUCCAACGAACUUCCUCUUCCUGUGAACAUUCAGAAUCCAUAUGAGUCCAGUGGAGAGAUGAAGCUCUGACACGUCCCAAGCCUCGCCAGUGAUGAGAUCUUGUGGCAACCCAGGCCUCCCUGCAUGGCUGCAUAGAAAAUGUUUCCCUCCCUGACAAAUGGGCUGACUGGGGCAGGCCAGGACGGAUGGGGGUUUGGACUGGCGGUGGAGAGAAGCUCUGGGAUGCGGGGAUGGAGGCUUCUCUCCCUUUGUGAGGGGCUGGACAGGUGUCUAACGGAAUGAUGAAUGUCCCUGCAUCCCGCCAUAAUUGGCUUCUCUCUGCCUGGCCAUAGCCUGCCUGUGCGCGUCUGCUGGGCGGCCACCUCCAUCUGUCAAUCACCUCACCCCCCCAAACACACACACACAGACACACACACAUAGAUGCACACACACACACACACACAAACCCCUCCGCUACACCCGCCUGCAAGGCUUGCUUUCUGAUAGCUAUGCUAAUAUCGUGGCUGACUGCCGAUUGGUUGGAGUGCGGCCGGACCAGGGCUAAUCCAUUAUCGCUCUGACAGUAGUAAUCUCCCACCCCCACCCCACCCCACCACCCCCCACCCAACACAGGGUCCCGUGUGCUAAACGUUAUUUGACCGUUCCUGUCACGUUCCCCGCUGCCAAGCGGACAGCGAGGGUGAUGGAUGACCCGGUCCUGGACCGGCUCGUUCAUCACCCCCACCGUGACUUGUUUGUGUGCUGUGGACACAUGCACACACACAACCGCGCCAAAAAAAUAAAUAGGUAAUUCCUUCGUAAUUUGGUAAGUCUCAAGUCUUUCGAUUAGUUUUUAUGAAGUCCAAGCCGGAGCCAAAAGCAAAACGACGGGCCCCUGGCCUGCUCAGUGUUCACACACACACACACACACACACACUCACACACACACACACACACUUAUAAGUAGA